UACGAAGGGGGCUAGCGUUGCUCGGAAUCACUGGGCGUAAAGGGCGCGUAGGCGGCCAUUCAAGUCAGAGGUGAAAGCCCAAGGCUCAACCUUGGAACUGCCUUUGAUACUGUUUGGCUUGAGACCGGUAGAGGUAAGUGGAACUGCGAGUGUAGAGGUGAAAUUCGUAGAUAUUCGGAAGAACACCAGUGGCGAAGGCGACUUACUGGACGAUUGUUGACGCUGAGGUGCGAAAGCGUGGGGAGCAAAUAGG
rnacentral:rRNA from 1 species